ACUCCUAGAUAGAUUACAUCUUCAUGAGGUUUCAGGAGGAUCAAAUCUGGCAUCAGAUACUUCCUAGCUCUGUGACCCUGGGCAAGUCACUUAAUCCCAGUUACCUAGCCCUUACCUCUCUUCUGCCUUGGAACUGAUAUUAAUUCUAAGACAUAAAGUUAUGGGUUUAAAAAAUAUUUCAUGAGAUCAAUGAUUUUGUCUUAAUCUAAACUGUCUCUUUCUCUUUCACUGUCUAGCACAGGGUUCUAUAUACAGUAGGCAUCUAAUAAAUGUUUAUUAAUUUAAAUUCUAGGGACACAUUUCCACAAACCUAGAAGCCCUGAUCCAGAAAUAAGUUGGGGGGAAAGAGGUUCUAGACAGGCUGAGAAAUUUUUCAGCUCUUGCUUAAUGCAGAAGUCUGAAUAUUGGAGAGUUAAAGUGCUAUAAAGAAAAGGACACAAAAUCUAGAGUCAGUCUUUUUAUUCCAAUGCCAGCUAUGUUACUUCUGAGCAGUAGGACAAGCCAUUUAAUCUCUCACGGUUUUAGUUUCCUCAUUUAUAAAAUGAUGGGUCUAGACUAGAUGAUCUCCAAGAUCCCUUCCAGUGCGAAAUCUGUGAUUUUAUGACUAGAAUCUCUUUGUAAAGAAUAUUGAGGAGAGGGUUCAUUAAAAAGGGGGAAACCAGAAAAGUUCAGGCCUGGUUUCCAUUAAGUUAUGGAGUCAUCAUGUAACUUGACCUUUAGUUUGUGAUUCAAUCCCUAGAAGCUUCCUUGUAGCAGACCCUGUGAUUUUCUUGGUCCUGGACUUCCUUUCUAUAAGCAGGGUGCUAGUUUCAACCUGUCUAUAACUUACAGUCUUAGAGAGUUACCAGAGCUUCAAAACUGUGUGUUGUUAAGUCCUAGACAAAUGGGAACUUCUGUCUUCUACAGGAAACUAGGAGAAAGAACUAAAGGCAAAAAAUUAGGGUGAGAAGCGGACAUGAACCAAGAGCUGGCCCAAGUCAAAAAGGAACACCUUCUCCCUUCAGGACCAACAUACAACAGUAGCCCUGAACACACAAUCCUAUCACUGGAGCAGUCUUUUCAAGGGGUGAGGACCCAGGAAGAGAAAUGGGACUUCACAAAUGUCAUAGAUGGAAAACACAGAAGCCAAGUUGGGAUUUGAAUUGAGACUUUCGACUAUACCACUGCCUAAUUUAUUGUGGCAAUUAUUAAAAUAUAGAUUGAUAUUAACAUUUAGUGUACCAUCUAAGCCACCCAAGUGAUUAUCAUAGAUUAAUUAUUUGAGCAAUAACAGCGAUUCAUCUUCGUCAUUAUCAUCAUACUUAAAUGAUAAUGAUUUCUAAUGCAUAAUCAUCUGUAUUCUCCAAAUAAUAAGAGUAUCACUAGCCUAUUAUGGUGAAGAUAAUAACUAAUAAUGGAAUCAUAAUUAUUCCUAAUUGUGGCUCAUUAUUGGUAUCAGGAUCUCCCACUCACCCCAAGUCAUCAAAACGUAGGCUAAAGAAAACCUUCUGGAAGUAGAUGGAGAGGUAAAUGGCCUGCAAUCAACCAUUCCAUAAAACUAGCAUCCUCUGCAUUUGAUUUUAUGUCUCUGAAUAAAGUCAAAUUUGCCCUUUGGGGGUGAUUCA
rnacentral:lncRNA from 1 species